UAAUGUGAAUUGCAGAAUUCAGUGAAUCAUCGAAUCUUUGAACGCACAUUGCGCCCUCUGGUAUUCCGGGGGGCAUGCCUGUUCGAGCGUCAUUA
rnacentral:rRNA from 3 species